UGGGGAAUAUUGCACAAUGGGCGCAAGCCUGAUGCAGCCAUGCCGCGUGUGUGAAGAAGGCCUUCGGGUUGUAAAGCACUCUCAGCGAGGAGGAAGGUGGUGAGCUUAAUACGCUCAUCAAUUGACGUUACUCGCAGAAGAAGCACCGGCUAACUCCGUGCCAGCAGCCGCGGUAAUACGGAGGGUGCAAGCGUUAAUCGGAAUUACUGGGCGUAAAGCGCACGCAGGCGGUUUGUUAAGUCAGAUGUGAAAUCCCCGGGCUCAACCUGGGAACUGCAUUUGAAACUGGCAAGCUAGAGUCUCGUAGAGGGGGGUAGAAUUCCAGGUGUAGCGGUGAAAUGCGUAGAGAUCUGGAGGAAUACCGGUGGCGAAGGCGGCCCCCUGGACGAAGACUGACGCUCAGGUGCGAAAGCGUGGGGCAGCAAACAGGAUUAGAUACCCUGGUAGUCCACGCUGUAAACGAUGUCGAUUUUGGAGGUUGUGCCCUUGAGGCGUGGCUUCCGGAGCUAACGCGUUAAAUCGACCGCCUGGGGAGUACGGCCGCAAGGUUAAAACUCAAAGGAAUUGACGGGGUC
rnacentral:rRNA from 1 species